rnacentral:rRNA from 1 species
GACGAACGCUGGCGGCGUGCUUAACACAUGCAAGUCGAACGGAAAGGCUCUUUAUUGGUGUGGGUGCUCGAGUGUCGAACGGUUGAUUACCACCUGGGUAAUCUCCCCUGUACUUCGGGCUACGCUUGGGAGACUGGGUCUAAUACCGGAUAGGACCUUGCUCUAAUGUCCCAUGGUGGACAGAUUAUUGUUUUGGUGCAGGAUGCGCUCGCGGCCUAUCAGCGUGCUGGUGGGGUAAUGGACUACGAAGGCGUCGACGGGUAGCCGGCCUGAGAGGCUGGACGGGCACAGUGGGACUGAGAGACGGCCCAGACUCCGACGGGAGGCAGCAGAGGGGAAGAUAGGACAAUGGGCGGAAGCCUGAUGCAGCGGCGACGCGUGGGGGAUGACGGGCUUCGGGUGGUAAACUGCUUUCGGGAGGGACGAAGCCACGCUUUUUGGGUGUGGUGACGGUACCUUUGUGAAGAAGCACCGGCUAACUACGUG